UACGUAGGGAGCAAGCGUUGUCCGGAAUCAUUGGGCGUAAAGCGCGCGUAGGUGGCUAUGUAAGUCCGUUGUGAAAGUCAAAGGCUCAACCUUUGAAAGCCGAUGGAUACUGCAUAGCUAGAGUACGGAAGAGGCGAGUGGAAUUCCUGGUGUAGCGGUGGAAUGCGCAGAUAUCAGGAGGAACACCAAUAGCGAAGGCAGCUCGCUGGGACGUUACCGACACUGAGGCGCGAAAGCGUGGGGAGCGAACAGG
rnacentral:rRNA from 1 species